AGAGUUUGAUCCUGGCUCAGGACGAACGCUGGCGGCACGCCUAACACAUGCAAGUCGAACGGAGUGAAGAUGCUCGCAUCUGAACUUAGUGGCGGACGGGUGAGUAACACGUGAGCAACCUGCCUUUCAGAGGGGGAUAACGUUUGGAAACGAACGCUAAUACCGCAUAAAAUAUCGGAGUCGCAUGGCACUGAUAUCAAAGGAGCAAUCCGCUGAAAGAUGGGCUCGCGUCCGAUUAGGCAGUUGGCGGGGUAACGGCCCACCAAGCCGACAAUCGGUAGCCGGACUGAGAGGUUGAACGGCCACAUUGGGACUGAGACACGGCCCAGACUCCUACGGGAGGCAGCAGUGGGGGAUAUUGCACAAUGGGGGAAACCCUGAUGCAGCGAUGCCGCGUGAAUGAAGACGGUCUUCGGGUUGUAAAGUUCUGUCGCAGGGGACGAAAAUGACGGUACCCUGCAAGAAAGCUCCGGCUAACUACGUG
rnacentral:rRNA from 1 species